AUGCAAGUCGAACGAUGACCCACUUCGGUGGGGAUUAGUGGCGAACGGGUGAGUAACACGUGGGCAAUCUGCCCUGCACUCUGGGACAAGCCCUGGAAACGGGGUCUAAUACCGGAUACUGACCCGCUUGGGCAUCCAAGCGGUUCGAAAGCUCCGGCGGUGCAGGAUGAGCCCGCGGCCUAUCAGCUUGUUGGUGAGGUAGUGGCUCACCAAGGCGACGACGGGUAGCCGGCCUGAGAGGGCGACCGGCCACACUGGGACUGAGACACGGCCCAGACUCCUACGGGAGGCAGCAGUGGGGAAUAUUGCACAAUGGGCGAAAGCCUGAUGCAGCGACGCCGCGUGAGGGAUGACGGCCUUCGGGUUGUAAACCUCUUUCAGCAGGGAAGAAGCGAAAGUGACGGUACCUGCAGAAGAAGCGCCGGCUAACUACGUGCCAGCAGCCGCGGUAAUACGUAGGGCGCGAGCGUUGUCCGGAAUUAUUGGGCGUAAAGAGCUCGUAGGCGGCUUGUCACGUCGGUUGUGAAAGCCCGGGGCUUAACCCCGGGUCUGCAGUCGAUACGGGCAGGCUAGAGUUCUGUACGGGAGAUCGGAAUUCCUGGUGUAUCGGUGAAAUGCGCAUAUAUCAGGAGGAACACCGUUGGCGAAGGCGAAUCUCUGGAUCGAUACUGACUCUGAGGA
rnacentral:rRNA from 1 species